UAUGGGGCAGGCAACUUUUGGUCAAAAUUCCUCUUCUCUAUCCUCCUCUCUUUUCUCUUCCUUAACUCUACUGAAGCUAAACCCAGAAAUCCCCAAAUCAGCUCAAUUAAUUUCCAAUUCCAGUUCUCCGCCGUUUACAUCUUUAAUUCUACCACCACCACCAUCAUUAUUAUCUUCAGUACCACCGCCAUCACCACUUAAUAGAUGGGUUAUAAAUGGAAUAUGGGUUUUUGUAUCGAGAGGGAGAUCGAAGAGAAAACUGGUGAUGUUAUGAAUCGGAAAUAGGGAUUUCAUAACCCUAUGACGACCAUCGGAUAUCAUGGUUAUCAGAUGCUGGUACAUUUUUUGCGGCAUCGGAAGAGUGAAUGGCAGAUAAAAAGAAUGACUUAUUAAAUGCUUCUCAAAAGCACCCAAUAUGGUGGUCAUAAUAUGGAAUCUAAAAGAGUUGCAGCACUUACAUUAUCAUUUUUAAGAACAAUAAUCAUUCAAUCAAGUUAUACAGUAAAAAAGGCAAGUAAAAAAAAACUUACGUUUGAAAUUGGAAACGGUAUCAGUGUUUGUAUUGAUUAAAGAUUAGUGUCCAUGGAGAAGUUUCACUGUUUGUAAUGAUUAGUCUUCAAGAGAGGCAGAAUUUGGGUAAUGAGGGUGUGAUUAAGGAAGAAGAGGGUUAUCCUCUGACGGGUUCUGUCAAGGAAGAGAGGAGGCUUGUGAGCAAUAAUUAUUAAGCUGAUGCAGGUGCAGAGCACUUAUGAAUUGUGGAUGACAUGCGCUGGAUUGUUCAAUCUCUGAUGGAAGAUAAUUGGUGGUUAAAACGGAUGUUAUCAGAGCUUCUGGGAGGUAAAGUUCUUCUCGUUCUUUUGAAAAUUUCAGAUGUUGUGGUGGGGUUAAUUGGUAUGCUUAGUUGAAUAAAUUGAUUCUUACACAUCGUUUUUAUGCCUCUCAAGUGGCUUUGUUUUUGGUGUUUCAUGUUGAUUUUUAUUCUGAUCUGGUACAAGAAGUAGGCAUUUUCUCAAAUUUUUACUUUUUAAGUUUAAGGAAGUUCAAAGCUGUUCUUUUCGAGGCUGGUGGUAUUCCUUUCUUUAUGAUAUCCCUCGUAUUGCUCAUAAACGACGAAGACUUUGCUGUGAAAUAGAUUUACAUUUUUGAUAGAAUUGGUUGUCGUUGAUUGAGACACUUUUCAUAACUUUCAUGUUUGAUUUACAAAUUUAGUUUAUGGAAAGUCAAUCUCUGCAUGACUCGUUACAAAUUCGUUUUUAGGUAGCCUCUUAGUGUCUACUAAUACACGAGUAGUAACUGAUAAGGUGUGUUUUAGUCAAUAAAUAAGAUGGAUGUGUUCUCUCCCCUGCCCCCCUCAAGCAUUUGUGUUUUAUUUGUAACGAACUGGAUGCAUUAAGGUGCCUACUCGUUACCCUCAUAUACACCAUUAUUUCUACCACUAGUAUGUAGUGGGAUAUUUUUUUGUCUAUGAAUCUUGGUUGCUUUCAAUAUCUAGGAGUUAUUAGCAGCUGCCUGCUGAGAGAGUUCUUUGGUGCUCAGCUUGUGCCAAGUAGAAGAAAGCUGUUUUAAAUGAGUUAUUAGGCUGGUAGUUCAAGAUGAUAUUGCUAUCUGGUAGCUUUCAUUUCUCUGAAGAAGUUUCACUUUUAAUUUUAUAUUUUUUUGCCCCAUCUUUGUAUUGUUUUGAAUGAGUCAUAUCUAUCAGUCUUUGAUGUCGUUGGCGGUUUUAAACGAGUCAUAUCUAUCAGUCUUUGAUGUCAUUGGUGGUAUCGUAUUAGCAGUCCUAUCAUCUAACUUGGCUUUUUUGUUUUGUUUUGCAUCGCCUUCCAUUGUUUUUGAUCUUUCUAGCUAAUAUUUGCAAGUGUUUGUCAAUUGGUUUUAGUGAUGGAAUGCUUCUCUACCUGAGCCAGUCGGGACCAUUGGUAGGGUUAAGUCUUGGAGACAAUAUGCACAGCCGCAUUGUUGAUUCUCUAAAACUUGUCUAAGAUUCAAAAUGUGUGUGUUUUAUACCCAAUGAUGUUGUUGUCAGCAUUCAACGUUUUCUAAGCAGACUAGAUUGCAUUGGAAAAUCCAUUUUGGUCUUGUGACCUGAUGCCAUACGUACGUGUUUUAGGGUAUUGAAAAAUUCCAAUUGGGCUCACAUGCUGAAUAUUCCGUAUCAACAGAAAUUCAGGAGAGUCUUAUGAAUACGCGUAUUUCUAUCUUAAUUUUCUGAGUAUGUAUGAUGAUGUUAGCUUCUGCAGGUGACUUCCGUUUCAAAAACUUAGAAAUACUGCUUCUGGAACUCACUAACUCAUGUGAAAUUGGCAAACCGUGACUUUUACGCAAAUAAAUUUACAUUUGCAUCAGAAAGUCCUUCACAUAGUUAAUAGCUUCUUAUGUGAAAUGACAUUGAAAACCAUUGUCAUCUGUUAAUUAGCAAUAAUAAUUCCCGUAUUGCUGUCAAGUAACAAAAGUUUCACUCGUAGUAUCUAAAUAGUUUCCGUGUCAAUUAGGGGCUUGUGCUCAUAGUUCAUAUGCAAAUUUGUAUUAUCAAUACAAAAAUUUUACUAUACCAACUCUUUUCUUAUUUCCUGUUUGACAAAUUUGUUAGACUUACUAAUCUCUUUGGUUAUAGAUUGAGACUACACACAGGAUCUCAUGUAUCGCUAGGUAAUACAACAACGUGCUACUGAAAAUUGAUUUACACUCCUAGUGUACCUCUGGUUUCUUGUCGGCUGCAGCGAACUGAUAGUAGCUGGAGGUAAUGCAUCCAUAGAACGCCGGCUAGGAUGUUGGAUGGGUAGAAUACAUAAGAGGAGCAACUACAUUUGUCUCAUGAGUUGAAAAGUUUGUCGAGAAUCUAGCUCCUCGAAUGUUGUGUUAAGCUUUUUUCCAUCUGGAGCAAAAAAGAUUGUACCUAGUGGAUACGGUGGAUUGGCCAAGUUGCUAGUGGAGGCAGGACUGAGAAGCCCAUGUUGAAAGCAGGAAACGCUUACAGAGUGAAGAGAAACUCCUGGCUCAAGGUUUGUGGUGUUGCUAUGAAUCCAGUUCAGCAUCCUCACGGAGGAGGUAACCACCAGCAUACUGGACAUGCCAGUACUGUUUGUUUGUCGUGAUGCACCUCCUGGACGAAAGGUUGGUCUCAUAUUGCUGCUAGGUUAGUCUCAUAUUGCUGCUAGGAGAACUGGACGUCUGUCGUGGGCAGGCUGCUUCAGCUGCUGCUAAGACAGAUAAAGCUCAAGUUUUUUUCCUGUUUUACUGUUUUAGUUUGUUUAUAUCAAAACUUAUGUUCUUCCCUAUUUUUCCUAGUUUGACUCAUGAGAGGUACUGUGAGAAGGAUACUCUUUCUUUUUCUUGUCUUCAGAUAUUACUUGUUGGUGUGUAGAACGAUCAGAAUUAAGUCUCUCUGUGAACUGCAAGUUUGUUGCUUGAGCAAUAUACUGAAUUUAGCAACACAGUUUGCUC